rnacentral:rRNA from 1 species
CCUACGGGAGACAGCAGUGAGGAAUAUUGGUCAAUGGCCGUAAGGCUGAACCAGCCAAGUCGCGUGAGGGAAGAAGGAUCUAUGGUUUGUAAACUUCUUUUAUAGGGGAAUAAAGGUAUCCACGUGUGGAUUUUUGCAUGUACCCUAUGAAUAAGCAUCGGCUAACUCCGUGCCAGCAGCCGCGGUAAUACGGAGGAUGCGAGCGUUCUCCGGAUUUAUUGGGUUUAAAGGGUGCGUAGGUUGUUUUUUAAGUCAGCGGUGAAAGUUGGUGGCUCAACCAUAAAAGUGCCGUUGAAACUGGAAGACUUGAGUGUGUUUGAGGUAAGCGGAAUGCGUGGUGUAGCGGUGAAAUGCAUAGAUAUCACGCAGAACUCCGAUUGCGAAGGCAGCUUACUAGGCCAUAACUGACACUGAAGCACGAAAGCGUGGGGAUCAAACAGGAUUAGAUACCCCAGUAGUC